UACGGGGGGGGCAAGCGUUGUUCGGAAUUACUGGGCGUAAAGGGCGCGUAGGCGGUUCGCUAAGUCGGAUGUGAAAACUCUGGGCUCAACCCAGAGCCUGCAUCCGAAACUGGCGGGCUAGAGUUCUGGAGGGGGUAGCGGAAUUCCUGGUGUAGUGGUGAAAUGCGUAGAUAUCGGGAGGAACACCAGUGGCGAAGGCGACUUCCUGGCCUGUUCUUGACGCUGAGGCGCGAAAGCUAGGGGAGCAAACGGG
rnacentral:rRNA from 1 species